rnacentral:rRNA from 1 species
AGCGAACGCUGGCGGCAGGCCUAACACAUGCAAGUCGAACGAACUCUUCGGAGUUAGUGGCGGACGGGUGAGUAACACGUGGGAGCGUGCCUUUAGGUUCGGAAUAACUCAGGGAAACUUGUGCUAAUACCGAAUGUGCCCUUCGGGGGAAAGAUUUAUCGCCUUUAGAGCGGCCCGCGUCUGAUUAGCUAGUUGGUGAGGUAAUGGCUCACCAAAGCUACGAUCAGUAGCUGGUCUGAGAGGAUGACCAGCCACAUUGGGACUGAGACACGGCCCAAACUCCUACGGGAGGCAGCAGUGGGGAAUCUUGCGCAAUGGGCGAAAGCCUGACGCAGCCAUGCCGCGUGGAUGAUGAAGGUCUUAGGAUUGUAAAAUCCUUUCACCGGUGAAGAUAAUGACUGUAGCCGGAGAAGAAGCCCCGGCUAACUUCGUGCCAGCCGCCGCAGUAACAC